GGUAUUACGACCCACACUGUAGUACAAGUGAGGACUGUAAGUUUGGAAUGUGCUGCCGAAAAAAGCGCGGAAUAACAACUUGUCAUGCUAAAGCGCGGUACGGUAGACGCUGUACAGCAAGUCCAAUCAGGGGAACCUAUGAUGUACAUUGCGAUUGUGCCUACGGCCAAGGAAUGUGUCUCCAUGGGAUAUGUACAUAAGGAAGUGUGAGACACUAUCAUUUCCCGUACCAUGCUUUCCUUGAAAAGCUAAUAAACGCUAAUCUAGAA